rnacentral:misc_RNA from 1 species
AAGUCGUAACAAGGUUUCCGUAGGUGAACCUGCGGAAGGAUCAUUACAAAUCCAAUCCAAUCAUUUCAUCAUGACAUGUUGAACUGUGUGCGGAAGGAGUUGCCUGGUGCAUCGCCGACCGAAAUACCAUCAUCACAUUCUCAUUUAUUAUCAUCAUCCAUCCAUCCAUCGUAUCCAACAAAAACAACUUUUAACAAUGGAUCUCUUGGCUCUU